UGGAGUGUGACAAUGGUGUUUGUGUGGAGUUAAAUCAAACGCCAUUAUCACACUAAAUA
rnacentral:pre_miRNA from 1 species